UACGAAGGGGGGCUAGCGUUGCUCGGAAUCACUGGGCGUAAAGGGUGCGUAGGCGGGUCUUUUAAGUCAGGGGUGAAAUCCUGGAGCUCAACUCCAGAACUGCCUUUGAUACUGAGGAUCUUGAGUUCGGGAGAGGUGAGUGGAACUGCGAGUGUAGAGGUGAAAUUCGUAGAUAUUCGCAAGAACACCAGUGGCGAAGGCGGCUCACUGGCCCGAUACUGACGCUGAGACGCGAAAGCGUGGGGAGCGAACAGG
rnacentral:rRNA from 1 species